rnacentral:rRNA from 1 species
GAUGAACGCUGGCGGCGUGCCUAAUACAUGCAAGUCGAACGAAACUUCUUUAUCCCCGAGUGCUUGCACUCACCGAUAGAGGGGUGAGUGACGAACGGAUAAGCAACACGUGGGCAACCUGCCCCUUAGAGAGGGAUAACACUAUACAACAGGUGCUAAUACCGCAUAACCAUCAUUACUGCAAGGCGACUUUGUAAACGGUGGCUGUUCUACCGCCUCUGCAUUGGCCCGCGGCGCAUUAGCUAGUUGGUAGGGUAAAGGCUUACCAAGGCAACGAUGCGUAGCCGAACUGAGAGGUUGAUCGGCCACACUGGGACUGAGACACGGUCCAGACUCCUACGGGAGGCAGCAGUAGGGAAUCUUCCACAAUGGGCGAAAGCCUGAUGGAGCAACGCCGCGUGAGUGAAGAAGGUCUUCGGAUCGUAAAACCCUGUUGUUAGGGAAGAAAGUGUGUGAGAGUAACUGUUCACGUCUCGACGGUAUCUAACCAGAAAGCCACGGCUAACUACGUG